GGCUCUUGGGUUGUAAACCUCUUUUCUCAGGGAAUAAAAAAAUGAAGGUACCUGAGGAAUAAGCAUCGGCUAACUCCGUGCCAGCAGCCGCGGUAAUACGGAGGAUGCAAGCGUUAUCCGGAAUGAUUGGGCGUAAAGGGUCCGCAGGUGGCAUUGUAAGUCUGCUGUCAAAGAAUGAGGCUCAACCUCAUCAAGGCAGUGGAAACUACAAAGCUAGAGUACGUUCGGGGCAGAGGGAAUUCCUGGUGUAGCGGUGAAAUGCGUAGAGAUCAGGAAGAACACCGGUGGCGAAGGCGCUCUGCUAGGCCGUAACUGACACUGAGGGACGAAAGCUAGGGGAGCGAAUGGGAUUAGAUACCCCAGUAGUCCUAGCCGUAAACGAUGGAUACUAGGCGUUGCGAGUAUCGACCCUCGCAGUGCCGGAGCCAACGCGUUAAGUAUCCCGCCUGGGGAGUACGCACGCAAGUGUGAAACUCAAAGGAAUUGACGGGGGCCCGCACAAGCGGUGGAGUAUGUGGUUUAAUUCGAUGCAACGCGAAGAACCUUACCAAGACUUGACAUGUCGCGAAUCCCGGUGAAAGCUGGGAGUGCCUUAGGGAGCGCGAACACAGGUGGUGCAUGGCUGUCGUCAGCUCGUGUCGUGAGAUGUUGGGUUAAGUCCCGCAACGAGCGCAACCCUCGUUUUUAGUUGCCAGCAUUAAGUUGGGCACUCUAGAGAGACUGCCGGUGACAAACCGGAGGAAGGUGGGGAUGACGUCAAGUCAGCAUGCCCCUUACGUCUUGGGCUACACACGUACUACAAUGCUACGGACAGAGGGCAGCUAAACAGCGAUGUCAAGCAAAUCCCGUAAACCGUAGCUCAGUUCAGAUCGCAGGCUGCAACUCGCCUGCGUGAAGGAGGAAUCGCUAGUAAUUGCAGGUCAGCAUACUGCAGUGAAUUCGUUCCCGGGCCUUGUACACACCGCCCGUCACACCAUGGAAGCUGGCAACGCCCGAAGUCAUUACU
rnacentral:rRNA from 2 species